rnacentral:rRNA from 1 species
UGAGGAAUUUUGCGCAAUGGGGGAAACCCUGACGCAGCAACGCCGCGUGGGUGAUGAAGGCCUUCGGGUCGUAAAGCCCUGUCGGGCGGGAAGAACGUCCCUUCGGGGAAUGACGGUACCGCCAGAGGAAGCACCGGCUAACUCCGUGCCAGCAGCCGCGGUAAUACGGAGGGUGCAAGCGUUAUUCGGAAUGACUGGGCGUAAAGGGCGUGCAGGCGGGAGAGCAAGUCUGAUGUGAAAGCCCGGGGCUUAACCCCGGAAGGGCAUUGGAAACUGCUUGUCUUGAGUGCUGGAGAGGAAGGGAGAAUUCCCGGUGUAGAGGUGAAAUUCGUAGAGAUCGGGAGGAACAUCAGUGGCGAAGGCGCCCUUCUGGACAGCAACUGACGCUGAGACGCGAAAGCGUGGGGAGCAAACA